AAUCAACGCUGGCGGCGUGCCUCAGACAUGCAAGUCGAACGAUUAAAGCUCUCUUCGGAGAGUGCAUAGAGUGGCGCACGGGUGAGUAACACGUAAGUAAUCUACCCUCGAGUGGGGAAUAACAACCGGAAACGGUUGCUAAUACCGCAUAAUGCAGCGGCACCGCAAGGUGACAGUUGUUAAAGAUUUAUCGCUUGAGGAGGAGCUUGCGGCAGAUAGCUAGUUGGUAAGGUAAUGGCUUACCAAGGCUACGAUCUGUAACCGGUCUAAGAGGACGGUCGGUCACACUGACACUGAAUAACGGGUCAGACUCCUACGGAGGCAGCAGUCGGGAAUUUUGGCAAUGGGCGAAAGCCUGACCCAGCAACGCCG
rnacentral:rRNA from 1 species